UCGAGAAUAAUUCGCAAUGGGCGAAAGCCUGACGAUGCGACGCUGUGUGAACGAUGAAGGCCUUCGGGUUGUAAAGUUCUGUCGACCUGGAACAAGAGUAUGCCGUAAAUAACGGUAUGCUUUGAUUGUACAGGAGGAGGAAGCACCGGCUAACUCCGUGCCAGCAGCUGCGGUAAUACGGAGGGUGCAAGCGUUAGUCGGAAUUACUGGGCGUAAAGGGCGCGUAGGCGGGGAAGCAAGUCAGAUGUGA
rnacentral:rRNA from 1 species